rnacentral:rRNA from 1 species
GAUGAACGCUGGCGGCGUGCCUAAUACAUGCAAGUCGAGCGAACGGACGAGAAUCUUUCUUCUCUGAUGUUAGCGGCGGACGUGUGUGUAACACGUGUAUAACCUACCUAUAAUACUUGGAUAACUUCGGGAAACCGUAUCUAAUACCGGCUAAUAUUUUGAACCGCAUUGUUCAAAAGUGAAAUUCGUUCUUUCUUUCUCUUAUAGAUUGAUCCGCGCUGCAUUAGCUAGUUGGUAAGGUAACGGCUUACCAAGGCAACGAUGCAUAGCCGACCUGAGAGGGUGAUCGGAAAAACUGGAACUGAGACACGGAAAAGAGAAGUACGGGAGGCAGCAGUAGGGAAUAGUCCGGAAUGGGCGAAAGCAUGACGGAGCAAGGCGGAGUGAGUGAAGAAGGACUGGGGAUCGUAAAAAUCUGUUAUUAGGGAAGAAAAUAAGUGUAAGUAAAUGUGGAGAGAAUGACGGUAACAAAUAAGAAAGCAACGGCUAACUACGUG